rnacentral:sRNA from 20 species
UCACGCCGAGUGACAACCGGCCGUAACAGGGACGAUGGACGCGGCUAUUUUGCCGGCUUCUGGUCGCGACAUCAACGCAUCGGUACGCGCUGACAUCUAACCUGUUCUUGGC